AAAAGGGGUACUGUUCCCCACUGUAUAAGAU
rnacentral:guide_RNA from 1 species